UACGUAGGGCGCGAGCGUUGUCCGGAGUUACUGGGCGUAAAGGGCUUGUAGGCGGCUGGUCGCGUCUGCCGUGAAAUCCCCUGGCUCAACUGGGGGCGUGCGGUGGGUACGGGCCGGCUUGAGUGCGGUAGGGGAGGCUGGAACUCCUGGUGUAGCGGUGGAAUGCGCAGAUAUCAGGAAGAACACCGGUGGCGAAGGCGGGUCUCUGGGCCGUUACUGACGCUGAGGAGCGAGAGCGUGGGGAGCGAACAGG
rnacentral:rRNA from 2 species